AUCAAUUUCUCAUUCCAUCCUCAAAUCUGAUAAGUCAGGAGAAGCUGGAACUCAUUUUUGGAAAUGUAGUACCAGAAACCACUAUUUUUUGCAUGUUUUACUUCAGUAAAUGAAAAAAGUCAUGGACAACUGCCAAAAGCCUAGAGGAACAUAGAUUUGAAUCCUGCAAACACCUAGGAAAGAAUGAGGAGGAGACACCAGAAGGGCACGCAGCACGUCCAGCUACCUAUGCUUACUCUGCCUGUGCCGGAGGCUGACGUUUCCUGAAACUCUCCAGGCUAAAAGGGGACAUUUGCACAGCCUCCUACAACUGUUGCUAAGGGGUACAGCUUCGUUGUGUGCUGGGAGGGAUAGACACUUCCUCUCUCUCCUCUUCAGUCUGCUGUUGCGGAAACCAAGAGCACACUGAUGUGCUUGAUGACACCAAGGUGAUGAGCAGAGACACUGCCUCACUGGGGGAAUCCUCAGCCCUCCCAAAAAGGGAGGAUUAGAGAAGAAGUGUGUCCAUGCACUCCUGAGUAAGAUGAAUCUUCACCAAUUUCGUCAGGUGCAGUGGUGGAAGAUGAUCGUGCAGGGCCGUGGUAAUUGCCCUGGAUUCCUGAGCCGCCCUCGCCAGGGCCAGAACCGAGGAGUGCGGAGAGGCCGGAGUUUGCCUGCCUGCCUGGAAUGUGACCGAAGCUGAAAGCUGACACCAGCUCAGUGGAAAAAGGCUUGCGAGCAAAGGCUGUCUCCAAGACAACUGAGUAUUUUCCCUGUGAUGCAUUUACACUGUGAGGUUAAAGUUCUGUGAAAGCAACAGCUGCUGUAAAAACAUGGUAUUAAAUAUGCUUAGAGCUGUAAAAUGCAUGCUCCUCGUGUUGCACUGCGCUCGAGAGAAAUGUGGAAACCAGUGGUAUGUCUGAAGGAGAGUUUCUGUUCUCUAAUGGCUGUUCAAAAAACGUCAUACCUCACGUUCAACUUUUUCCUUCUGGGAGAGCUUCUUCCUAGGAGCAUUUUUUAUCUAAAGUUGACUUUAAAGUUAAAAUGAAUGACUGAAACAGGACUCUAUCUAUUUCUUACUUUUAUCUCAUUCAACGGUGCCAUUUGGAAUAGUUGGAAAACUUGACUUUUGUUUUAUGUGUGCUCUUGUGUUUAGGCAGAAGCAGUGGCAAAUGGAGCUUGCUUGUCCUGGUAUCACUCAUACAUGUGGCCCAGCUCCCACAGUUCGGGCUCAGCAACACUAAUUUUUUUCUAUCACCAGAGAGCAAAUAUCCCGCAACUCUCUCCUAUUAUGGACUUUGUUAACUGCUGGGAAGGAUCCUUCCACACAGUUAGCACAGCUACCACAUGCCCAGUGAGCUUCUUCAGAUCGAUCUUCCAGAAGAGAAGAAAAAGAGAAAGAAAAAAAAAAAAAGCCAGGAAGACUACCAGGCAUAAACUUCAAUUGUCUCCACCCUCCUCAACCAAAACUCCUUUCCACCUCUCUUCAACUUUUCAGUGUGGCAGAUGGCAACAGAGGAGCAGUGUGACAAACGGCAUCUGACAUGGAAGCGAGUAUGAAGCAAACGUGCGUCAUUGAAUUCCUCCUUGAGGAAAAAAAUGGCACCUAUUGACAUCCAUCAACACUUGCUGAACAUUUAAGGAGACCAGACAGUGGAUGUGAGGGCAGUGAGGCAAUGGGCGAUGCGUUUCAGCAGUGGUAGCAGCAACAUGAAAGACAAGCCAUGUUCUGGGUGGCCAUGCACAGCUGUAAUGUCAUGAAUUGAAGAGUCUCUUUAUUAUCUCAUUGAAGUCAAUUGGUGGACUGUGAUCAGGGAGCUGUGUAUGGAGCUGAAUAUCAGCUUCAAUGCAUUGGAAAUAAUGGUGGUAAGAUUGAAAUAUCUCAAAGAUUGUGCCAGAUAUGUCCUGUGAAUGCCCACACAGGAAGAGAAAGAACACCAUGUGCAAGUUUGUCAGGACCUGUUGAGGCUGAAUAUGAGGAUGAAGUGACUGCUUCCUGGAUCACAUCAUUACCAGUGACAAGAUGUGGUAUCACCACUAUGAGCUGAAGUCAAAAUGGCAGCCCAUGGAGUGGUGACAUCUGAACUCCCCAUUGAAGAAAAAGAUCAAGACACAGCCCUUAGAGGAUAAAGUGCACAGUUUUUUAGGACAGGAAAUGGGUGUUCCUCCUAGAUUUCCUGGAACAUGAGAAACCAUCAGCUCUGACGACUACGUGACAACACUGACUAAGCUGAAGGCUUGAACUUCUGCAGACAGGCCAGAGAAGAAGACAGUCUUUCUCUUGCAACAUGAUAUGGCCAGAACCACACCUGUUUGAAGACCAUGGAGCACACUGCCAAUCUUGGCUGGGCUGUCCUACCAUGUAAUCUGGAUUUGGCUCCUUCUCAGUUCCAUCUGUUCAGGCCAAUGAAAGAUGGACUGCAGGCAGUAUUUUCCUGGUCAUGACAGUGUCACGGAAGCUACAGAAGUAAAACAGUGGGUCACUUCCACUGGUGUAGAUUUGUAUGAACAUAGCAUAGUGUGCGAGCUCUUGUUUAUCACUGGCAAACAAACAAACAAACAAAACAAACAAAAAAACAAAAAAGCAUAGUAAGUGGUGGCAGUGAUGUUGAAAAACAGCAUUUUGUAGCUGAGAAUUUGCUCUUCCAAAUAGUGUUAUUGUGUUCUUUGUACCUGUCAUAGUCCCCAUGGAAAUGAAUAGGAGACAUUACUUUCAGAGCUACAUACAUCUGUUGUUAAAAACUGCUAUUAUGUCUUCUUGGUAUGUUCAGUUUUAGUUAAAAAAUCAUUUAUUUGCAUUUUCUAUUCACAGCAUGUUUUUUCUCCCUUCAAAUUCUCACCUCCAUUCUCUUGAGUCUCCAGUGGAUCCUCUCUGUGAAGUGCCACAUUCAAACCUGUUACAGACUUCAAGAAACUUUAGCAGAGCUUGAUGGAACUAAGUUACUAUUUAAUAUGAUUUUCAGGCAAUAUUUCCAUUUAUAAAGGUCAAAAGGAUGAUUGAUAUUUUGAUGAUGGUAUGAUGUUAUAGGCUCUUGUUUAGUUUGCAUUCAAUCAUAUUUCCUCUCUCUCUUUCUGGACUCCUAAAGAUGAAGAGGAUAUUGUGUUUAUCUUUACGAAAAUCACAGAAUCACAGAAUGGCUUGGCUUGGAAGGGACAUCAAGGAUCAUGAAUCUCCAACCCCCCUGACGGGCAGGGCCAUCAACCUCCCCAUUUACUAGACCAGGUUGGCCAGGGCUCCAUCCAACCUGGCCUUGAACACCUCCAGGGACGGGGCAUCUACAACCUCUCUGGGCAGCCCAUUCCAGCACCUCACCACUCUCCUUGUAAAGAACUUCCCCCUAACAUCCAACCUAAAUCUUCCCUCUUUCAACUUAAAACCGUUCCCCCUUGUCCUGCUAUUAUCUACAAAAUCUAUCAUAUCUAUCUAAAAACAUUCACCAGUUUGCUAUAAUCCAUUUAUAUUCUACUUUGUUGUACAAUAAACAUCUCCUAUGCCUCAGCUUCAUGUCAUCCUUGUGUUUAAUGUGCAUAUUCUCUAACCCAUCUUCCAAGACAUUAAGAAAAAUCAAUAAGCUCAGGUAAAAAAAAAAAAAAAAAAAAAAAAAAAAAAGAAUAACAUGAGAUGCAAAAUAGUCCUAUAGAAUCUUACACCCCACAUUCAUAGAGUCUGACUGUGAUUACUAGUGAUGACUACUUGAGUACUACUUUCUACCAAUCAUGCCAGUUUCAUCUUAAGUGCCUUUCACCAGCUUGCUUAAAAUAAUGCAGUGAGAGGCAUGCUACCUUCUAGGAUCCAGAUAUAAUAUUACUGGCUCUCUUCUAUCCACAAAGUUUAAAAUGAAUAAAACUGAGUGGAUACAAAUUGCUUUGUAUAUAACAAAUCCAGGUUGGCUUUUAAUUAUACCCUCUUUUUCUUAUUGAUCCUUAAAAUUUAUUAGUUUUGUAUCAGUGACCUGCAAUUCCACAGCUUUUUCUAUCCCCUUCCCAUUUUCAAACAGUUUGUCUUGUUUUGGUGUCUGAAGUUUCAUUUACUCUUUGAGUGAUAAUGGCUAGAGGUCCAGUCUGAAAGGAAUCUUUAAGUACUGUAGGAGUAAUAACUUGUAGCCUUGCAAAUAUCUAACUGCUUAAACCACUAUAGCAAGCUGUAUUUCCCUGCUCUGGCUUGACUUCUUGCCCUUUACUUACCAAUAUAACCUGAACUAAGCCUGCAUGUAAGACAUGCAUUUUUUAAGGAAACUGAAACUACAGAGGGAAUCAAUACAGAGGGAAUUUUCCCCAUCACCUAAAAAAAAUCAGCAGUGCAUCAAGGCCAUCCUUGGUAUUCUUUUGCACUUGUAGAAUGAUUUCUUUACAACUUUUAUUUAUCUCUCAACAUAAACACUAGAGUUUCUGAUUUUAGUCGGCCACCUCUGUGCUGUUCCUCCAUGCUGUAAUUACUUGAGACAAUUUACUUUUUUUUCUUCCCCACACUCCUCCUUGUGUUAGAGGAUUAAAAUUUUGCAGUUCAGCCAUACUGAUCCUAUUCCUCUUUCCAGCCUAUCUGCUCAUCAAGAUAGUUUGAUAAUAAGACUAAUUGUAUCAGUCUUUAAACAUAACAUCUUCCAGGACAAAUUGUGUGUAUUAUUCAGACUAAUAUCACAUUACAAAGCUAAGAGGUCUAGAAUCAAAACCUAUUGAUUUACAAAUACUUUACAUGCUACAAACAAAUAAAAACAAAACAAAUAAAGCAAACAACAACAACAAACAAAAACAAGAGCAACAACAACAAAGGAGUAUUUUCCUUUCAUGUUUAUUUUGGCUCUGAGAGAAGGCAGAUAAGGUAGAUAGGGAUUCUGUGUAUGACGGUAAUUCAUAAGCCACCCUGAGGUCCCUGGUUGCAUUUAUACUUCACAACCGAUACCAAUAAAAGUUGUGAAUAACUGACUUUUCUGGGGAAUUAAACUCCAAUUAAUGAUUAUCUAAGUCUUUUUAAACACUAUUGUGUGUGCUGACAAUGUUAACUGUAUUUUCCCAGUCACCAUUUUCAAAACUUUUUGACAACAACAUGUAAAAAUAAAUCCUUUAAAU
ensembl:lncRNA